rnacentral:rRNA from 1 species
GAGCGAACGCUGGCGGCAGGCCUAACACAUGCAAGUCGAGCGCCCCGCAAGGGGAGCGGCAGACGGGAGAGUAACACGUGGGAACGUGCCCUUUGGUCCGGAACAACCCAGGGAAACUUGGGCUAAUACCGGAUACGUCCGUAAGGAGAAAGAUUUAUCGCCAAAGGAUCGGCCCGCGUCUGAUUAGCUAGUUGGUGAGGUAACGGCUCACCAAGGCGACGAUCAGUAGCUGGUCUGAGAGGAUGAUCAGCCUCACUGGGACUGAGACACGGCCCAGACUCCUACGGGAGGCAGCAGUGGGGAAUAUUGGACAAUGGGCGCAAGCCUGAUCCAGCCAUGCCGCGUGGGUGAUGAAGGCCCUAGGGUUGUAAAGCCCUUUCGGCGGGGAAGAUAAUGACGGUACCCGCAGAAGAAGCCCCGGCUAACUUCGUGCCAGCAGCCGCGGUAAUACGAAGGGGGCUAGCGUUGCUCGGAAUCACUGGGCGUAAAGCGCACGUAGGCGGCUUUUUAAGUCAGAGGUGAAAUCCUGGAGCUCAACUCCAGAACUGCCUUUGAUACUGAGAGGCUUGAGUCCGGGAGAGGUGAGUGGAACUGCGAGUGUAGAGGUGAAAUUCGUAGAUAUUCGCAAGAACACCAGUGGCGAAGGCGGCUCACUGGCCCGGUACUGACGCUGAGGUGCGAAAGCGCGGGGAGCAAACAGGAUUAGAUACCCUGGUAGUCCACGCCGUAAACGAUGGAUGCUAGCCGUUGUCGGGUUUACCCGUCAGUGGCGCAGCUAACGCAUUAAGCAUCCCGCCUGGGGAGUACGGUCGCAAGAUUAA